AUGGCAGUGAACGUAUACUCAACGUCAGUGACCAGUGAUAAUCUAAGUCGACAUGACAUGCUGGCCUGGAUCAAUUAGUCUCUGCAGUUGAACGUGACAAAGAUCGAACAGCUGUGCUCAGGGGCUGCCUAGUGUCAGUUUAUGGACAUGCUGUUCCCUGGCUCCACCGCCUUGAAGAAAGUGAAAUUCUAAGCUAAGCUAGAACACGGGUGCAUCCAGAACUUCAAAAUACUACCAGUAGGUUUUAAGAGGAUGGGUGUUGACAAAAUAAUUCCUGUGGACAAAUUAGUAAAAGGAAAGUUUCAGGAAAAUUUUGAAUUCGUUCAGUGUUUCAAGAAGUUUUUUGAUGCAAAUUAUGAUGGAAAAGACUGACCCUGUGGCUGCCAGACAAGGUCAAGAAACUGCAGUGGCUCCCUCUCUCGUUGCUCCAGCUCUGAAUACACCCAAGAAACCUCUCAGUUCUAGCAGUGCAGCUCCCCUGAGGCCCAUCUCAACACAGAGAACUGCUGUGGCUCCUAAGGCUGCCCUGGUGUGGUGUGAAAGACCCUGGUGUGCGCAAUGGGCACGAUGAGGCAGCUGAGUUGAUGCAGCACUCAAUGUAUUGAAACUUACCGUUGAAGACUUGGAGAAAGAGAGGGAUUUCUACUUCGGAAAGCUAUAGAACAUUGAAUUGCCAGGAGAACAAGGGGGAAAAUGACCCUGUAUUGCAGAGGAUUGUAGACAUUCUGUAUGCCACAGAUGAAGGCUUUGUGACAUCUGAUGAAGGAGGCCCACAGGAGGAGCAAGAAGAGUAUUAA
rnacentral:lncRNA from 1 species